rnacentral:rRNA from 1 species
GAGUUUGAUCAUGGCUCAGAGCGAACGUUUGCGGCGGGCCUAACACAUGCAAGUCGAACGGGUCAGGGGGCAACUCCUGGCCAGUGGCGCACGGGUGCGUAACACGUGGGUAAUCAACCCUUUGGACUGGGACAACCCGGGGAAACUCGGGCUAAUACCGGAUGUGGCAUGGCGGUCCUUGGACUGUCAUGCGAAAGCCUCGCAAGGGGCACCAGAGGACGAGCCCGCGGCCCAUCAGCUAGUUGGUGAGGUAAUGGCUCACCAAGGCGAAGACGGGUAGCUGGUCUGAGAGGAUGAUCAGCCACACUGGAACUGAGACACGGUCCAGACUCCUACGGGAGGCAGCAGUGGGGAAUAUUGCGCAAUGGGCGAAAGCCUGACGCAGCCACGCCGCGUGAGCGAUGAAGGUCUUCGGAUCGUAAAGCUCUGUGGGGGGAGAAGAAUCAAGCCGGUGAAGAGCCGGCCCUGACGGUAUCCCCUUAGCAAGCACCGGCUAACUCCGUGCCAGCA